rnacentral:rRNA from 1 species
AUGGGAACGCGAAGAACCUUACCUACUCUUGACAUCCAGAGAACUUUCCAGAGAUGGAUUGGUGCCUUCGGGAACGUCUGAGACAGGUGCUGCAUGGCUGUCGUCAGCUCGUGUUGUGAAAUGUUGGGUUAAGUCCCGCAACGAGCGCAACCCGUUAUCCUUUGUUGCCAGCGGUUAGGCCGGGAACUCAAAGGAGACUGCCAGUGAUAAACUGGAGGAAGGUGGGGAUGACGUCAAGUCAUCAUGGCCCUUACGAGUAGGGCUACACACGUGCUACAAUGGCGCAUACAAAGAGAAGCGACCUCGCGAGAGCAAGCGGACCUCAUAAAGUGCGUCGUAGUCCGGAUUGGAGUCUGCAACUCGACUCCAUGAAGUCGGAAUCGCUAGUAAUCGUAGAUCAGAAUGCUACGGUGAA